CUAUGACACUGGAGCUAUCACAGUACAACAGAAUAGGGCCAUCAAUAGAAGGUGUAACUUUUAGCUCGAUGAUGAAAUUUUACAACCACACCUUCUCCUUUACAGCAUCCAACGCAGCAAUGUAUUUCACUUUACAUACAGAAUGGCCGUAAUAUGUUGCUUGAAAUUUUUUCAGCAAAUAGCUCCUCCAUUUAGAGUAAAUACAUAGUCUG
rnacentral:lncRNA from 1 species